rnacentral:rRNA from 1 species
AGCGAACGCUGGCGGCAGGCUUAACACAUGCAAGUCGAACGCCCCGCAAGGGGAGUGGCAGACGGGUGAGGAACGCGUGGGAACGUACCCUUCGGUUCGGAAUAACUCAGGGAAACUUGUGCUAAUACCGGAUACGUCCGAAAGGAGAAAGAUUUAUCGCCGAAGGAUCGGCCCGCGUCUGAUUAGCUUGUUGGUGAGGUAACGGCUCACCAAGGCGACGAUCAGUAGCUGGUCUGAGAGGAUGAUCAGCCACACUGGGACUGAGACACGGCCCAGACUCCUACGGGAGGCAGCAGUGGGGAAUAUUGGACAAUGGGGGCAACCCUGAUCCAGCCAUGCCGCGUGAGUGAUGAAGGCCUUAGGGUUGUAAAGCUCUUUUGUCCGGGAAGAUAAUGACGGUACCGGAAGAAUAAGCACCGGCUAACUCCGUGCCAGCCGCCGCCGUAA